AUACUAAAGAACAUGAUGUUGGUUCAGAUUAAAUGCUAUAUAAGUACAUUACACAUGCAAAUCAAACAUUUAUAAUAUAUAAUAUUAUAAAUAUGUGGUGUGAACGUGAGUAAAAAAUAGAUAUAUAAGAACUAUAAAUAAAGUUAAAUGCUUUAUAAUAUAUAUAUAUAUAAAUUAUAUAUAUAUAUAAAAGAAUAUAUUAUUAUAUAUAUUUGUUUAUAGUCUAAUCUAUAAUGGUUUAGAUAGUAGGUAUAUUAAUAGUUAUACCUAGUCUACGAUCCAUAAUCAAUAAUUAAUGUUAUAAUGAUCACGUUGAUAAUUAAAUAUAAUCAAUAUCUAUAUGAUACAGCAGUGGGGAAUAUUGAACAAUGAUCGUAAGAUUGAUUCAGUAACUUAUAAGAAUGAGAUAUAAUAAUAAUAUAAAUAUAUAAAUAAAUAUAUUUUAUAUAUAUAUAUAUAUAUCAAUUGAUUAAAAAUAAAGUUCAUAAAUAAUAAAAAUAAUGAUAUAAAUUAAUUUAAAUAUUAAAUUUUAAAUAUAAUAUAAUUUUAUUAUAUUAUUUUAAUAAUCCUUGCUAAUAUUUGUGCCAGCAGUAGCGGUAAUACAAAGAGGGUAAGCAUUAAUCAUAAUGGUUUAAAGGAUCCGUAGAAUGAAUAAAUAUCCAAAUUUUAGAGUUAAUAAUAUUUAUUAAAGAAUUAUAAUAGUAAAGAUUAAAUAAUAAUAAUAAUUAUAAGACUGAUAUAUGUGUAAAUAUUAAUAAAAUAUUAACUGACAUUGAGGGAUGAAAAUUAAAGUAGCAAAAUAGAUUCGAUACCUAUGUAGUUUUAAUAGUAAACUAUGAAUACCAUUUAUAAAUAAUAAUAAUAUUUAUAAAUAAAUGAAAAUGUAAGUAUUCCACCUGAAGAGUACGUAUAUGAAACUCAAAACAAUAGACGGUUAUAGUCAACAACAAUGGGGCAUGUUAUUUAAUUCGAUAAUCCACGACUAACCUUACCAUAUUUUGUAUAUUUAAUAUAUAUAUAUAUAUAAUAUAUAUAUAUAUUAUUUACAGGCGUUACAUUGUUGUCUUUAAUUCAUGCUGCAAAGUUUUUGAUUAAGUUCAUUAAUGAAUAAAACUCCAUAUAUAUAAAUAUAAAAUUAUAUAUAUUAUUAUAUUAUUAAUUAAUAUAAUUAAUAGGAACUAAGACAAAUCAUAAUGACCCUUAUAAUAUGGGCUAUAGACGUGCUAUAAUAAAAUAAAAAUCAAGUUAUAUAAUAUUAUAAUCAAUCAUAAUAUAAUAAAUAACAAAAAAUAUUUUAAUCUUUAAUAUAUUUAUAUAUUAUAUAUAAUAUGAAUUAUUAUCUGUAAUUCGAUAAUAUGAAAUAAGAAUUGUUAGUAAUACAUAAAUUAGUAUGUUAUGGUGAAUAUUAUAACUAUUUCGCACUAAUCACUCAUCACGCGUUAAAAAAUAUUGUUAUCUAAAUAUAUAUCAAAUUUAUAUAAAUAUUAAUUAUUUAUAUAUAUUAAAUAUAUAAAAGAAAUUAUAUUAAUUAAUGCGAAGUUGAAAUACAGUUACUGUAGGGGAACCUGCAGUGGGCUUAUAAUUAUC
rnacentral:ncRNA from 1 species